UUAAAUAUCACUGGACCUAGCACCUAGGGAAUGUGACUCUUGUCUUUUGCAUCAGCCCCACUCGUUUUGAGAACUGUAACAUAUCACUGGGCCAAACACCUAGAAGAUGGGAAGUGUCUGCCUAUGCCCUGCAAACAGGGCUUUAGCCCUACCACUCUCAAGAGCCUCGUGACAUAUCUCUGCAUUCAUCAUCUAGGAGAUGUGACUCCUCCCUGCUGCCUGCGCUCUGCCUACAGGGAAGACCAUAACAACAUUUGGCCCAGCAACACGGUGAUGUGUUUUUUCCCAGGGCCUUGCUCACAGGGAGCAUUGUGACAUAUCACUGGAACCAGCAUCCAGGGCUGUGACUCUGUGUCCUGCUGUUAGAACAGGAUUGUAACAUAUCACUGACCAAGCACCCAGGUGAUGUGACUCUUCUGCCUGGUGCCUGCCUUCAGGGAAAAUUGUGACAUAUGCCUGGCCUAGCACCAAAGUGAUGUGGCUCUCCUGCUACCUCUAUGCACAGAUGGGUUGGUGAUGCUCAGACAAAUAUUCAGCACACCUGUGAGUCUGCGACUCCAGUAAUCAUCCACAGUCUGCAGGAGAAAUUGAGGCUCUCACCAACAAAUCAAGUGCACAAUUGAGAUUGCGACUCUUGUACUCAGACCCAACAUACAGAAUGUGUUGACUCUCAAUUUUAAAACCAGAACAUGUGACUGCCUGCAGGGGAUAUGGUGACAUUUUACUUUGCCCAGCACCAAGAUGACUUGAAUCUGCUGCCUUUGUUCUACUUUCAGAAGACAUUGUGACAUAUCGCUGGGCCUAGCACCAAGGUGAUGUGAAUCUUCUGCCUGGACCUGCUCACAGAGGGAAUUGUUACAUAUUUUUGACUUCAUCAACUAUUUGAUGUGACUCUCCUCUCUAACCUGGGCCUUGCCCAUAAAAAACAUUGUGGCUUAUCUCUGGGCCCAAAACCUAGGUGAUGUGACUGUCUUCUUAGGGUCAUGCCCACAGUAGAGAGAUGCCUUAUUGCUAAACCCAGCACACAGGUGAGGUGAUUCUUCUGUCUGGUCCCUGCCCACAGGGGUCAUGAUGACAUCUCUCUAAGCCCAUCACCUAGAUUAUGUGAGUUCUCUUUUUCUUCUGUUAGCUAUAUAGAAGAUUGUGACAUAUUGCUUGGCCCAGACCUCAUGUGAUGUGAAUCUCCUCUCAUGCCUUGGUCCUGUUUUUUUUUGGCCGUUGUUGUUUUGUUUUGUUUUUUGAGAUGGAGUCUUGCUCUGUUGCCUAAGCUGGAGUGCAGUGGCAUAAUCUAGGCUCACUGCAACCUCUGCCUCCUGGGUUCAAGUUAUUCUCCUGCCUCAGCCCCUGAAUAGCUAGGAUUAAAGGUGAGUGCCACCACACUCAGCUAAUUUUUGUAUUUUUAGUAGAGAUGGGGUUUCACCAUGUUGAUUAGGCUGGUAUUGAACUCCUGACUUCGUGAUCAACUCGCCUCUGCCUCCCAAACUUUUGGGAUUACAGGCAUGAGCCACCAUGCCCAGUCAAGAUGAUGAUACAUUUCUAAACCCAGGUUAUAGGCAGGUGAGGGUUCUUCUACCUAUACACACGUUUAAAGGGAUGUUGAAUCUCACACGUGGUCUCAGGGCCACAGGUACAAGCAUGGGUCUUCACCAGCAUGAAUAUCUCAGAGCAUACUGCGACUCUCCAGUGUAAUGUAUAAAGCUCUCAGGUGGGACAGUGUCCUAACAGGAUCCAGAACACAGAAAAGAUGUUGAUGCUCCUAUGCACACCCAGGUCACAGUAAAAUAUGUCAUUUUCCCACAUAAUCAUAGCCCAAUGUUGAGAUUCUGCAUCUCACACCUGAAAGAAGUUGAAAGAUGGAAAAUUGACUCUCUUAUAUAGAUCUGGUCUACAGGUAGGUUGGUGACAUUCAGAUCAAAAUUAAGUACACUUGUGAGGCUAUAACUCUUCUAAGAAGACACAGCUCACAGGAGCAACUGAUGCUCCUAUGAACAAAUCCAGUCCGUGAUUGAGAUUCUAACUCAUGUACUUAUUGUCAGGCCUCUGAGCCCAAGCUAAGCCAUCAUAUCCCCUGUGACCUGCACGUAUACAUCCAGAUGGCCUGAAGCAACCGAAUAUCCACAAAGGAAGUGAAAAUAGCCGUAACUGAUGACAUUCCACCAUUGUGAUUUGUUCCUGCCCCACCCUAACUGAUACGAUAUAUUCUCCCUCUGCCCUGAAGAAGGUACUUUGUAAUAGUCUCCCCCCACCUUAAAAAGGUACUUUGUAAUAUUCUCCCCACCCGUGAGAAUGUACUUUGUACACCUAUCCCAAACCUAUAAGAACUAAUGAUAAUCCCACCACGCUUUGCUGACUCCUUUUUUGGACUCAGCCCACCUGCACCCAGGUGAAAUAAACAGCCUUGUUGCUCAC
rnacentral:lncRNA from 1 species